AGUGAACGCUGGCGGUAGGCCUAACACAUGCAAGUCGAACGGCAGCACAGUAAGAGCUUGCUCUUACGGGUGGCGAGUGGCGGACGGGUGAGGAAUACAUCGGAAUCUACUUUUUCGUGGGGGAUAACGUAGGGAAACUUACGCUAAUACCGCAUACGACCUACGGGUGAAAGCAGGGGAUCUUCGGACCUUGCGCGAUUGAAUGAGCCGAUGUCGGAUUAGCUAGUUGGCGGGGUAAAGGCCCACCAAGGCGACGAUCCGUAGCUGGUCUGAGAGGAUGAUCAGCCGCACUGGAACGGAGACACGGUCCAGACUCCUACGGGAGGCAGCAGUGGGGAAUAUUGGACAAUGGGCGCAAGCCUGAUCCAGCCAUACCGCGUGGGUGAAGGAGGCCUUCGGGUUGUAAAGCCCUUUUGUUGGGAAAGAAAAGCAGCAGGUUAAUACCCCGCUGUUCUGACGGUACCCAAAGAAUAAGCACCGGCUAACUUCGUG
rnacentral:rRNA from 1 species